UCGUCCCUGCCUCUCUGCUCCAUAUACACUCAUACUUACUAACGUGCUCUCUCUCUCUCUCUCUCUCUCUCUCUCUCUCAGAGGAACACACACACACAGAACAUUAGAAGAUGUCGGACUCAGAGACCUCUGUUCCCACUGAGAGCCCCGUCCCAGCCGCCUGCCAGACCAUCAAAGCAGAUCUGGAUAAAUGUAUAAAGGAGAGAGGUGAAUCGGCAUGUAAGGAGCUGAUGGAGGCAUUCACCGCCUGUGUAAAGAGCAAUGCUUCAGCAUCAUGAGGAGCUCUGACACACAAGACAGGUCCACACGUCCUCCACAUUUUUACCAGCACUGGACUUGAUGUCAUGGUGGGAUUUGACAGCAGAAACCCCCUACACCCCUUCUCUUGCCCUUAUCUCCCCCUAUAAGGUUUGGAUGGUAUCUUCCUCCCCUCCCUCUCCCUUGUGACCAGAUGAUCUGAUCUGAUCUGAGACAGUUUGGGGAGCUCAUGUUUUUUUAAUGGCUUGUGUGAGAUUCUUCUCUAAUGAUGAAUAAAAAGUAACAGUAAUGGUA